UACGAAGGGGGCUAGCGUUGUUCGGAAUUACUGGGCGUAAAGCGCGCGUAGGCGGUGAUCUUUGUCAGAGGUGAAAGCCUGGGGCUCAACUCCAGAAUUGCCUUUGAAACGGGAUUGCUUGAGUCCGAGAGAGGAUGGCGGAAUUCCUAGUGUAGAGGUGAAAUUCGUAGAUAUUAGGAAGAACACCGGUGGCGAAGGGCGGCCAUCUGGCUCGGUACUGACGUUCAGGCGCGGAAAGCGA
rnacentral:rRNA from 1 species